rnacentral:rRNA from 1 species
UGGGGAAUAUUGCACAAUGGGCGAAAGCCUGAUGCAGCAACGCCGCGUGAGGGACGACGGCCUUCGGGUUGUAAACCUCUUUUAGCAAGGAAGAAGCGAAAGUGACGGUACUUGCAGAAAAAGCGCCGGCUAACUACGUGCCAGCAGCCGCGGUAAUACGUAGGGCGCAAGCGUUAUCCGGAAUUAUUGGGCGUAAAGAGCUCGUAGGCGGUUUGUCGCGUCUGCUGUGAAAACCCGAGGCUCAACCUCGGGCCUGCAGUGGGUACGGGCAGACUAGAGUGCGGUAGGGGAGAUUGGAACUCCUGGUGUAGCGGUGGAAUGCGCAGAUAUCAGGAAGAACACCGAUGGCGAAGGCAGAUCUCUGGGCCGUAACUGACGCUGAGGAGCGAAAGGGUGGGGAGCAAACAGGCUUAGAGUGACCCCUGGUAGUCCACCCCGUAAACGUUGGGAACUAGUUGUGGGGUCCAUUCCACGGAUUCCGUGACGCAGCUAACGCAUUAAGUUCCCCGCCUGGGGAGUACGGCCGCAAGGCUAAAACUUGAAAGGAAUUGACGGGGUCAUAGCUGUUUCCU